rnacentral:rRNA from 1 species
GUGGGGAAUCUUGCGCAAUGGACGAAAGUCUGACGCAGCGACGCCGCGUGGGUGACGAAGGCCUUCGGGUUGUAAAGCCCUGUGGGGGGAGACGAACCGGCACGUAGCUAACAUCUACGGGCCUUGACGGUAUCCCUUUAGCAAGCAUCGGCUAACUCUGUGCCAGCAGCCGCGGUAAGACAGAGGAUGCAAACGUUGCUCGGAGUUACUGGGCGUAAAGCGCGCGCAGGCGGUCUCGUAAGUCGGGUGUGAAAUCCCGGGGCUCAACCCUGGAAGUGCACUCGAUACUGCAAGACUGGAGUACUGGAGGGGAGAGCGGAAUUCCCGGUGUAGAGGUGAAAUUCGUAGAUAUCGGGAGGAACACCAGUGGCGAAGGCGGCUCUCUGGACAGAUACUGACGCUGAGGCGCGAAAGCGUGGGAAGCAAACAGGAUUAGAAACCCUAGUAGUCC